GACGAACGCUGGCGGCGUGCUUAACACAUGCAAGUCGAACGGAAAGGCCCUGCUUUUGUGGGGUGCUCGAGUGGCGAACGGGUGAGUAACACGUGAGUAACCUGCCCUUGACUUUGGGAUAACUUCAGGAAACUGGGGCUAAUACCGGAUAGGAGCUCCUGCUGCAUGGUGGGGGUUGGAAAGUUUCGGCGGUUGGGGAUGGACUCGCGGCGUAUCAGCUUGUUGGUGGGGUAGUGGCUUACCAAGGCUUUGACGGGUAGCCGGCCUGAGAGGGUGACCGGCCACAUUGGGACUGAGAGAGGGCCCAGACUCCUACGGGAGGCAGCAGGGGGGAAUAUUGCGCAAUGGGCGGGAGCCUGAUGCAGCAACGCCGCGUGCGGGAUGACGGCCUACGGGUUGUAAACCGCUUUGGCCGGUAACGAAGCGUGAGUGACGGUAAUGGGUAAGGAAGCACCGGCUAACUACGUG
rnacentral:rRNA from 1 species